rfam:Cronobacter sakazakii ATCC BAA-894, complete genome.
GAGCGCCUUGAUCACUCAGGCCGCGCCACGUAGUUAAAAAGAUCAACAUCAUUAAUCAAUGGCGAGGCCACGAUUUCCCUGGUGUUGGCGCAGUAUUCGCGCACCCCGGUUUAGCC